rnacentral:rRNA from 1 species
CCUACGGGUGGCAGCAGUGGGGAAUUUUGCGCAAUGGGCGAAAGCCUGACGCAGCAACGCCGCGUGUGUGAUGAAGGUCUUCGGAUUGUAAAGCACUUUCGACCGGGACGAAAACCUCUGGCCUAACACGCCGGGGAGCUGACGGUACCGGGAGAAGAAGCACCGGCUAACUCUGUGCCAGCAGCCGCGGUAAUACAGAGGGUGCAAGCGUUGUUCGGAAUUAUUGGGCGUAAAGCGCGUGUAGGCGGCUUUGCAAGUCGGGUGUGAAAGCCCUCGGCUCAACCGAGGAAGUGCGCCCGAAACUGCCGAGCUCGAGUGCCAGAGAGGGUGGCGGAAUUCCCCAAGUAGAGGUGAAAUUCGUAGAUAUGGGGAGGAACACCAGUGGCGAAGGCGGCCACCUGGAUGGUGACUGACGCUGAGACGCGAAAGCGUGGGGAGCA